UACGGGGGGAGCAAGCGUUGUUCGGAUUUACUGGGCGUAAAGGGCGCGUAGGCGGCCACCGCAAGUCGACUGUGAAAUCUCCGGGCUUAACCCGGAAAGGUCAACUGAUACUGCGGGGCUAGAGUGCAGAAGGGGCAACUGGAAUUCUCGGUGUAGCGGUGAAAUGCGUAGAUAUCGAGAGGAACACCUGCGGCGAAGGCGGGUUGCUGGGCUGACACUGACGCUGAACUGCGAAAGCGAGGGGAGCGAACGGG
rnacentral:rRNA from 1 species